rnacentral:tRNA from 1 species
GGGCGCGUGGCGGAACUGGCAGACGCGUACGGCUUAGGACCGUAUGGGGAAACUUGUGGAGGUUCAACUCCUCUCGCGCCCA